rnacentral:rRNA from 1 species
CAGUCGCCGCGGUAAUACGGAGGGUGCAAGCGUUAUCCGGAUUUAUUGGGUUUAAAGGGUCCGUAGGCGGACUUAUAAGUCAGUGGUGAAAGCCUGUCGCUUAACGAUAGAACUGCCAUUGAUACUGUAAGUCUUGAGUAUAUUUGAGGUAGCUGGAAUAAGUAGUGUAGCGGUGAAAUGCAUAGAUAUUACUUAGAACACCAAUUGCGAAGGCAGGUUACCAAGAUAUAACUGACGCUGAGGGACGAAAGCAUGGGGAGCAAACAGGAUUAGAUACCCCUGUAGUCCCUGUCUCUUAUAC